rnacentral:lncRNA from 10 species
UUGCGAAGCCUAAAAUAUUUGUUACCUGGUCCUUUAUAGAAAAAGUUUGUUGACAGGCCUGGUUUAGAAAACAGGCCUCCCAGCUGGGUGCAGUAGCUCACACCUGUAAUCCCAGCACUUUGGGGGGCCAAGGUGGGUGGAUCACCUGAGGUCAGGAGUUCGAGACCAGCCUGGCCACAUAACUUAUACACAGAGGGAUGAGGAGUUAAGCUCGUACAGGCUUUCUCAGGAGUCAAAGUUUUUAUUUACCAAACUCUACUUCCUGCUUCCAUUGUAUCAAUUAUCUAUGGCUACGGUGGUCUGCUUUUAGAAAAAAAAAGCUGUACACACUGUAUUAGUCCAUUCUCAUGCUGCUAAUAAAGACAUACCAGAGACUGGGUAAUUUAUAAAGGAAAGAGAUUUAACUGACUCACAGUUCAGCAUGGCUGGGGAGGCCUCAGGAAACUUAUAAUCAUGGUGGAAGGA